GCACUUGUAACUUAAUUGGAAAAGUAUAGAUCUUCUAAGUCUAGUAAUAAUGGUUCAAAUCCAUUCGAGUGCU
rnacentral:tRNA from 1 species